CCCUGCAGCAGCCUCUGCUGGGGAGGACCCUGCCAGCCAGAUUUCAAGGCCUGGGAGAAUCGGGGGGAACAUGCCUCGCGGCAGCUGUUAAGACCAGGGGAAUGGCAAAUGUGACACCAAAGAAAAUGCAAUGACCAGGGAAUUCACCAGCAACAAAGCCAGAGAAGCCGUUCGGGCACUAAAGGGAACCUGCGUUGGAAACACAGAUGAUCAGCCAAACACAUCCUUGUCAUUAACAGACCUUUGAAACUGAGUAAAAUGUCUUUGAAACGCCAGUGGAAUAUGAUAAAAGUGCCUGAGGAAGAAGACACGGUUCAGCAUGACGAAAGCGCCUGUGAGACCAGACUGGAAGCGAGG